rnacentral:rRNA from 1 species
CCUACGGGCGGCAGCAGUGAGGAAUAUUGGUCAAUGGGCGCGAGCCUGAACCAGCCAAGUAGCGUGAAGGAUGACUGCCCUACGGGUUGUAAACUUCUUUUAUAAAGGAAUAAAGUGAGGCACGUGUGCCUUUUUGUAUGUACUUUAUGAAUAAGGAUCGGCCAACUCCGGGCCAGCAGCCGCGGUAAUACGGAGGAUCCGAGCGUUGUCCGGAUUUAUUGGGUUUAAAGGGAGCGUAGAUGGGUUGUUAAGUCAGUUGUGAAAGUUUGCGGCUCAACCGUAAAAUUGCAAUUGUUACUGGCAGUCUUGAGUACAGUUGAGGUAGGCGGAAUUCGUGGUGUAGCAGUGAAAUGCUUAGAUAUCGCGAAGAACUCCGAUUGCGAAGGCAGCUUACUAAACUGCCACUGACAUUGAUGCUCGAAAGUGUGGGUAUCAAACAGGAUUAGAUACCCGAGUAGUC